ACAGAAGCCAGCUGAGGCCAUCUGUCCUUUGGAAGACCAACCAGUAGCCCAACUUCCUUUACAGAGGAUGUCCCAGCUCAUCGCGGACACUCAAGCAGCUCUCCACUGGGCCACAGCAUGUGAGCAAGACGACCAUUGUUCGGGUCAAAAUGAGAGGGAAAGUGCACCGCAGGAAAAGA
rnacentral:lncRNA from 1 species